rnacentral:rRNA from 1 species
UACGUAGGGGGCAAGCGUUAUCCGGAAUUACUGGGUGUAAAGGGUGCGUAGGUGGCAUGGCAAGUCAGAAGUGAAAGGCCGGGGCUCAACCCCGGUAUUGCAUUUGAAACUGUCCGGCUAGAGUGCAGGAGAGGUAAGCGGAAUUCCUAGUGUAGCGGUGAAAUGCGUAGAUAUUAGGAGGAACACCAGUGGCGAAGGCGGCUUACUGGACUGUAACUGACACUGAGGCUCGAAAGCGUGGGGAGCAA